CCCAAUGUUCCUGUUCUUGAGGUGGACGGCAAGAGCAUCAGCCAGUCGGUAGCUAUCAUGGAGUACUUGGAAGAAACCUAUCCCCAACCCAGACUUCUGCCUGCAGAGCCCUACCUAAGAGCCAAGACGAGGGAAAUCACGGAGCUUCUCGUUUCCGGGGUGCAACC